AGAGUUUGAUCAUGGCUCAGAUUGAACGCUGGCGGUAUGCUUAACACAUGCAAGUCGAACGGAAACGAAACUAGCUUGCUAGUAGGCGUCGAGUGGCGGACGGGUGAGUAACGCGUAGGAAUCUGCCUGAUAGUGGGGGAUAGCCCGAAGAAAUUCGGAUUAAUACCGCAUAAUCUAUUCGUAGUAAAGUGGGGGACUUUCGAGCCUCACGCUAUCAGAUGAGCCUGCGCAAGAUUAGCUUGUUGGUAGGGUAAAAGCCUACCAAGGCAACGAUCUUUAGCUGGUCUGAGAGGAUGAUCAGCCACAUCGGGACUGAGACACGGCCCGAACUCCUACGGGAGGCAGCAGUGGGGAAUAUUGGACAAUGGGGGCAACCCUGAUCCAGCAAUACCGCGUGUGUGAAGAAGGCCUGAGGGUUGUAAAGCACUUUCAAUUGUGAAGAAAAGUCAACAGUUAAUAACCGUUGACCU
rnacentral:rRNA from 1 species